rnacentral:other from 1 species
ACGUCCCUGCUUUAUGCGAGAUAAGCUUAUAUUCUCUUACCUAUGCUUGUGGCAUCGGGUUGUUAGCUUAGAAAGGUGGGCGUGAGCGUCUCUUUGUCAGAUGAACCCGAAACCUCUCUCAAACGACCCACUUGAACUUUAGGGUUCGAGAUGCCAGCUUACACGCAUACUACGCGGGGACUCU